AGCUUUGUGCAGUGGCAAUAUCAUAGCCAAUGAGAUUUAUCCGAGGUGUAAUUAUUGCUAAUGGAAAACUUUUCCCAAUACCCUGCCAUGACGACUUGAAAUAUAGUCGGCAUUGGCAAUUUUUGAGGGACUCCAUGGGGA